CUUUCGUUCUUCUCUCCAUCUUCUUCCUCGGCUUCUUCUUCCUCCCCAUAUUCUGCCUUGUUUCUCAAUAAAACUGUUGAAUAUGGUGAAUUUAGGGAAUGGAUGCCGUGCAAGUUGAAACUCAAAGCUCUUUUUAAGGUCCCUUCUCCUACCCACCCAUUACAAUCCACCCUCUCUUUCUUACAACCCAGCAAAAUACCCGACAUUAUACCACCUAUUCAAAUCUGCCGAUCUCUCUUUCUUAAGCUCAACCCCAAAUCUCAUCGAUCCACACAACCCAACAUUAGGCAUCUCCUCCCUCUGUCUCUGAGGCCAAACGAAAAUUCAAUCCCAAGCGUGCAAAAUUGUGCAUCCCGUCUUGGUUAGUAGAAAGGUCUCUCCACCUUUUGCCUUUAGCGACGCCGACCACACAUUCUUCUCGCAAUCCCUCCACAAGCACAUCAGAAGCAGUUUUU